rnacentral:rRNA from 1 species
UCUACGGGUGGCAGCAGUGAGGAAUAUUGGGCAAUGGGCGCGAGCCUGAACCAGCCAAGUAGCGUGAAGGAUGAAUGCCCUACGGGUUGUAACCUUCUUUUAUAAAGGAAUAAAGUGAGGCACGUGUGACUUUUUAUAUGUACUUUAUGAAUAAGGAUCGGCUAACUCCUUGCCAGCAGCCGCGGUGCUACGGAGGAUCCGAGGGUUUUCCGGAUUUAUUGGUGUUAAAGGGAGAGUAGACUGGUUGUUAAGUCAGUUGUGAAAGUUUGCGGCUCAACCGUAAAAUUGCAAUUGAGACGGGCAGUCUUGAGUACAGUGGAGGUAGGCGGAAUUCGUGGUGUAGCGGUGAAAUGCUUAGAUAUCACGAAGAACUCCGAUGGCGAAGGCAGCCUACUAAACUGCCACUGACAUUGAUGCUCGAAAGUGUGGGUAUCAAACAGGAUUAGAUACCCUAGUAGUC